CGACGAGUUUGAUCCUGGCUCAGGAUGAACGCUAGCGGCAGGCUUAAUACAUGCAAGUCAAGGGGGUAGCAAUACAACCGGCGCACGGGUGAGUAACACGUACACAACAUACCAUAUACUGAGGUAUAGCUUCGGGAAACUGAAGGUAAUCCCUCAUAGUAUUGUGAAAGGGCAUCUUUUUACAAUUAAAGUUUCGACGGUAUAUGAUUGGUGUGCGUUUGAUUAGCUAGUUGGUAGGGUAACGGCCUACCAAGGCAACGAUCAAUAGCUGGCGUGAGAGCGCGACCAGCCACACUGGAACUGAGACACGGUCCAGACUCCUACGGGAGGCAGCAGUAGGGAAUAUUGGACAAUGGGCGAAAGCCUGAUCCAGCCAUGCCGCGUGAUAGAUGAAGGCCCUCUGGGUUGUAAAUAUCUUUUAUCUGGGAAGAAACACUUCUAUUCUUAGAAGCUUGACGGUACCAGAGGAAUAAGCACCGGCUAACUCCGUG
rnacentral:rRNA from 1 species